rnacentral:rRNA from 1 species
ACUGCUCAGUAACACGUGGACAACCUGCCCUUAGGUUGGGUAUAAACCCGGGAAACUGGGUAUAAUACCCGAUAGGUCUCGAUUGCUGGAAUGCAUCGAGAUUUAAAGCUCCGGCGCCUAAGGAUGGGUCUGCGGCCUAUCAGGUAGUAGUGGGUGUAGCGUACCUACUAGCCUACGACGGGUACGGGUUGUGAGAGCAAGAGCCCGGAGAUGGAUUCUGAGACACGAAUCCAGGCCCUACGGGGUGCAGCAGGCGCGAAAACUUUACAAUGCUGGCAACAGCGAUAAGGGAACCUCGAGUGCCAGGUUACAAAUCUGGCUGUCGAGAUGCCUAAAAAGCAUUUCAUAGCAAGGGCCGGGCAAGACCGGUGCCAGCCGCCGCGGUAACACCGGCGGCUCGAGUGGUAACCGUUAUUAUUGGGUCUAAAGGGUCUGUAGCCGGCCGGAUAAGUCUCUUGAGAAAUCUGGCAGCUUAACUGUCAGGCUUUCAGGAGAUACUGUCUGGCUCGAGGCCGGGAGAGGUGAGAGGUACUUCAGGGGUAGGGGUGAAAUCUUGUAAUCCUUGAAAGACCACCAGUGGCGAAGGCGUCUCACCAGAACGGACCUGACGGCAAGGGACGAAAGCUAGGGGCACGAACCGGAUUAGAUACCCGGGUAGUCCUAGCCGUAAACGAUACUCGCUAGGUGUCGGCCACGGUGCGACCGUUGUCGGUGCCGUAGGGAAGCCGUGAAGCGAGCCACCUGGGAAGUACGGCCGCAAGGCUGAAACUUAAAGGAAUUGGCGGGGGAGCAC